CUCUGCUUCUGCUGUUUACCUACACUCUCAGAAAUAAAGGUACAGAAAAGUAAAAAAAAAAGUACAAAUGCUCGUCGCUGGGGCAGUACCCCCAACGGGAAGAAACUUGUACCAUAUUAAUGGGUACAAAGAAG